UGAGCAAUCUGCCCUUCACAUCGGAAUAACCAUUGGAAACGAUGGCUAAUACCGAAUAUGACUUCGGACCGCAUGAUCUGAAGUGGAAAGCUCCGGCGGUGAAGGAUGAGCUCGCGGCCUAUCAGCUUGUUGGUGAGGUAAUAGCUCACCAAGGCGAUGACGGGUAGCCGGCCUGAGAGGGUGACCGGCCACACUGGGACUGAGUCACGGCCCAGACUCCCG
rnacentral:rRNA from 1 species